AACCCCGUGCACCAAGGAAUCCAAGUUUAUAUAUCGCUCACCCUUUUAAUUUCUCCUCCACUUCAUUCUCAACAUCACACCAGAAACCUCCUUCCUUUUUUUUUUCCUCCCUUUUGUUUUCUCAGCUCCUUCUCAUCUUCUUCGUUGUAUUUGGUCUGUAGGUCCCGUUAUUAAGCAUUAAGAAUGAGUCAGCCUCCUCCAGGUUAUGCCUACCCUCCUCCAGGGCAGUACCCUCCUCCAGGGAAAUACCCUCCUCCAGGGCAGUCCUACUUCCCACCUCCUCCUCCGGUGCAACCAGCUCCCAUGCAGGCUCGGCCCAGCAGCAACGAUGGCUUCUGGAAAGGAUGCUGUGCUGCCUUAUGCUGCUGCUUCCUUUUCGAAGAGUGCUGCUUCUAAGGCUCGGAGGAAGAUAACCUUCAAUUUAUCCAUCUUCAUUGUCCUAAGCUCUUGAUAGAUAAUUACACUAUAUCUCUUUGUAGUGUGACAUGAAAUAAAUACAUGGUCAAGAUAGGAACAGUGAUGUUCCUUGUUUAGCAACUGUGCUGCCUUGUGGUGCUGCUUCUAAGGCUCGGAUGGAGAUAAAUUGAAGUUCAUUUUAAGCUCCUGACAGAUAUUAUUCCUCUUUGUAAUGCGACUGAAAUAAGAACAUAUGAAAAAAUUGGUAAAGAUGGGAUCAAUUUAUGUGCUA